UAGUGUUCAAAAUUUAAAAAAUACAUAUAAAAUUAUUUUAAUAUAUCUUCAAACAGAAAAAAUAUUUUAAAAAACACCUUACACUAUAUAUCCCAAACACACCUUUUAUUUUGGAAAGAAAAUUUAUUACCCUUUAAUGUCUUACCCUUAAAUUGAGAGUGAUUGAGGGGGAAGGAAAUAGCUAUAUAAUUUCUUGACAUUAAUUUAUUAUUCAUCUUUAUAUUUUUUUUGAAAAAUCCAAUUUUAUCCUAUUUAUCAUUUCUUCCUUUUACAUUCAAUUAAAAAGGUAUUAAUGAUAUUUAAUGUUUAUUACCCUUUCAUUCGCUAGUAUAUCCAGACGAAGAUAAUGUAAGUGUCCAAAUACAGGUCGACUUUGCCAAGUCGCCGUCUCAAAGAGCCUCUUCUGUCAAGUCCAUGCUGAUUAAUAACUACACGAUGAAGUGCUGUCUACUGUGUAUAACCAUUAUCGUCGACUGCAUAAUGACGACGUUUCAGCUACCUUCUAUCGCUCAAUUCGAACAAUAAACUUCUUGCAAGCAAUUUCAGUCAUUCUCUCACAAAUCAAAACGACAAUAGUCUUUGAUCAACGGUGAGCACCAUUGACUGUGAGAUCAAUGGUGCGAUGUAAAACUAGAUUGGAUAAAAGGGUGCCCAGAUGAUAAAUUGGUGGUUUUAUGGGUGGUGGGUGUCGGUAUGCCUACAAUCUUGUGCAGUCUAUAUCGGUGCAAGAGUUCAGUGACGCGGUGCAUUUUUGGUGGUAAAGCUCUUGCCAAGGCUGAGAAUCACAAGGGAUUGGACAAAUUCAACAGCAUUGCACGCAACAGUUUUCUUGUUGGAUUUAUGGGAAGAAGAUACACGGUAGCUCCUCCCUGUCUGUAAACUUUCCCAUUGCAAUUCAAAAGAAUCAAGUAGAAAAUGGUAGCUUGAAUGCAAAGAGUUGCGGAGAGGAACAGGCACAUGAACACCUGGAAUUUUAGUUUGCAAUAAACUAGAGAUUUUUAUUCUAAAAUUCAGAUUUCGCAACUUCGUAAAUUUAUAAUUUGAGAUUUUAUUAUAUUCUUAAUUAUAGACUUUUAAUUAAUA